rnacentral:rRNA from 1 species
UACGUAGGGUGCGAGCGUUGUCCGGAAUUACUGGGCGUAAAGAGCUCGUAGGUGGUUUGUCGCGUUGUUCGUGAAAACUCACAACUCAAUUGUGGGCGUGCGGGCGAUACGGGCAGACUGGAGUACUGCAGGGGAGACUGGAAUUCCUGGUGUAGCGGUGGAAUGCGCAGAUAUCAGGAGGAACACCGGUGGCGAAGGCGGUUGCCUGGGGCUUUGCUGACGCUGAUGCGCGAAAGCGUGGGGAGCGAUCCGG